AUUUUCCAUAUUUGUGUCUAGCAAAUCUCCAGCUUUUAUUAUGUUGUGCAUGGUUUCAAAGAAUAUUUGAAUUAUUGGAGUGGAAUGGCAAAAAAAGAUUCACGUAGCCAACCCUAGUUGAUUGGGACGCAGGCUUAGUUUGCUUUGGAUAAAAUUUGUUCAAAUCAACAUGCAUUGUUUCCUAUCAUCGAACCUAGCCAAGUGCAAUCUAUAUCCUCUACUGAUUAUGUGAAAAUACCUACUGAUGGAGCUGAUGUCUGGGAAAUUGAUGCUAGCCUGCUGAAAUUUGAAAGCAGCGUUGGAUCUGGUUCAUUUGGUGAUCUGUAUAAAGGCACAUACUGCAGUCAGGAGGUGGCUAUCAAAGUCCUCAAGCCUGAUCUUG